GACGAACGCUGGCGGCGUGCUUAACACAUGCAAGUCGAACGAUGAAGCCGGAGCUUGCUCCGGUGGAUUAGUGGCGAACGGGUGAGUAACACGUGAGCAAUCUGCCCUUGACUCUGGGAUAACUGCGGGAAACUGUAGCUAAUACCGGAUACGACACCUUGGGGCAUCCCAGGGUGUGGAAAGAAUUUCGGUCAAGGAUGAGCUCGCGGCCUAUCAGCUAGUUGGUGAGGUAAUGGCUCACCAAGGCGACGACGGGUAGCCGGCCUGAGAGGGUGACCGGCAACACUGGAACUGGGACACGGUCCAGACUCCUACGGGAGGCAGCAGUGGGGAAUAUUGCACAAUGGGCGAAAGCCUGGUGCAGCAACGCCGCGUGAGGGAUGAAGGCCUUCGGGUUGUAAACCUCUUUUAGCAGGGAAGAAGCGAAAGUGACGGUACCUGCAGAAAAAGCACCGGCUAACUACGUGCCAGCAGCCGCCGUAA
rnacentral:rRNA from 1 species